rnacentral:rRNA from 1 species
CCUACGGGUGGCAGCAGUGAGGAAUAUUGGUCAAUGGGCGCGAGCCUGAACCAGCCAAGUAGCGUGAAGGAUGACUGCCCUAUGGGUUGUAAACUUCUUUUAUAAAGGAAUAAAGUGAGGCACGUGUGCCUUUUUGUAUGUACUUUAUGAAUAAGGAUCGGCUAACUCCGUGCCAGCAGCCGCGGUAAUACGGAGGAUCCGAGCGUUCUCCGGAUUUAUUGGGUUUAAAGGGAGCGUAGAUGGGUUGUUAAGUUAGUUGUGAAAGUUUGGGGCUCAACCGUAAAAAUGCAAUUGAUACUGGCAGCCUUGAGUACAGUUGAGGUAGGCGGAAUGCGUGGUGUAGCGGUGAAAUGCAUAGAUAUCACGAAGAACUCCGAUUGCGAAGGCAGCUUACUAAACUGCCACUGACAUUGAUGCUCGAAAGUGUGGGUAUCAAACAGGAUUAGAUACCCCAGUAGUC